rnacentral:snRNA from 1 species
UUGCUCACUUCCGCAGCACAUGAACUAAAAUUGGAACGAUACAGAGAAGAUCAGCAUGGCCCCUGCACAAAGAUGACACACAAAUUCAUGAAGUGUUUCAUUUUAAA